GCGGCGUUGGUGUAAUGGUUAGCAUCUAAGCUUCCCACUUGUGUGAGAUUGCUUAGGACCCGAGUUCGAUUCUUGGACGCCGCA